CUGCAAAAAGCACUAUUUUUUUCCAUUUGGCCCAAGGCUUGGCGAGGGCUCCAGGGUGGUUAACAAGCUGCCCAGUAGCUUCAGAGAGAGGCUUCAGGGAGAAGCCCUGACCCCAGAGGGGCUCCUCACAGGCCGCUGGGCUCCAGGGGCUCCUAGUGGUGCUUGAGGCUGAGCCUUUGGAAGAGACACUCGCCCAGCCCAGCCUGGGGGCUGGGCAGUCUGCAGAGGUUGGUCAGAUGGUCGCCCAUCUUCUUGAUGAGUUUCACCUGCUCUUCCAGGAAGUGGUUCCAGGAAGUCCAGAGGCGGAGUCUGCGCGGGGAGAAUCCAGGGCCUGCGGAUCCACAGGGCCUGGUGCGGGUUCUUCUCCGUCAGCCGGGCGGCUUCCAUGGCGUCCUGGGCUUUACCCACUGCUCCUGGGACGGCUUCGGCACGUCCUGGAAGCGGGCGCGGCCACUGCACUGCUUUUGCCUUUUCCGGUGAGCUCGAGCCCUCCGGCUUCUCCUCAGCCAGUUCGCCAAACGAUGUCUCACGCCCUCGCGAGCUGCUGCGUCGGAGUCGAAAGAGAAGCGCAGAGACGGUUGCAGUUCAGCACAUAGAAAAUUAGAAACGCCCAUCUACUCAGGAGUAAAGGCUUAAAGAACACCAGGAAGAGGAAAGACUUAGGACUCACCUGGGAUGGCCACACAGCUACGUGAUCAUCCUCACCCCUCUGGGUCUGGAGCCACCUCUUUGGAAAGAAAACAUCAAGGAAGAUGGUGCCUCCGUCUCCCAGUUGCUGCGGUAGGCGUCGGGUCCUACGUCUCCGGUCAUAAAGACACAGAUGGGAAGUUCUAGGAUUGCUUUGGAUAAAGGUGAAGAGCUCCUGCAGAGCAUCACUCGAAUUCCCAGGCACAUUUAGGAUAAACUAACAAAUGGGGCAGUCGAGUCCUCUCACCUGAAGGCAAUGUGACUGUCUUCAUAAGGCCUCUCUCCUGUGUGGACUCUCACGCUCUGCAAGCCUAUACAUCCAGGGGUAGACUUUCCUACA